UGAAACUAGAUCACAAUCACAGCUUGAUGAAUCACCUGGCUUUUGAGCGCAUUAUGAGUUUUUAUUUCAACAUCAAUAUUUUAUCACCACAUAUACAUGAAAGUAUAAGGUAAAGUGCAUUAGUUCUGUUUUAAUCACCUCACUAGUUCAUUUUCAGUGGAUGUUGGAAAUAGUAGUAGAUGAACACGCCAGAUCACUGCAACAACACAGAUACAGUUGCAAUUAUAUCACAAAUUUAACGCUUUUCACAGUAUGAGAUAGCCAGCGAAGAGCGAAGAGAAAGAUUUGUUAACAUUCCUAUAACGUUACGAAGACAUCCGAAUGUUCAGUGAAUUAUUCCACUGUAUCAUUUUUAUCAUUAUGGGAACGUUACUUUUAAAUGUCCUCUGAACGUUCUAAAACAUGUAGUAACAUUUAAAAAACGUUAAACGAACGUUCAACUAAGAUGUUUCAGGAAGACACAUUCUAUGAACGAUGUGUAAAUAAUGUUUCCGUGAGAACAUCAUUAAAGACCAGAUGACUUUGAACGAUUGCUUUAUUAAUGCUACCGGAAGAAUGCUUGUUCGCAACUUUGAGAGAACCUUGCCGCAACGUUUUGAGAACGCUUCCUGUCAGAUGAAUUAGAGAGAGACAGAUAGCAUCUCUAAAUUCUUUAAAAGUUUGAGCUGCAUGUUACGACAUGAACGGGGGAAACACACAACUGCACACACACUUAUUUAUCUUGAGGGAUUUCACUUCAACACAUAGGCUACUACACGCAUACAUGCAUACAUAUAACACUCAUGUCAGAAUGAAAGUUAGUGAGAGGAACCUGAGACAGGAAGCACAGUGUUGAAAUAGUCCGCGGUUAAAACUAAAUUUGACUUUAUAUUAGACACAAAGACACACUAGCAGUAGUUCACUAAAAGUCGAAAGUCUCUCACAUUUACGCUAAAUAUUUAAUAGCGAACACAUACAAUCAUCUGACAUAAAAACCUGUCAGAGCGAGAGCGCGCGCGCGCCCCCGUUUCCGCCCAUAUCUCGCGCGCGCGCGCUCCCGUCGAGAUGCUCGCUUCCGCCUUUGAACGCGCGCGUGACCAAAUAAGGAGCUCUAGAGUGAACUCCGCUCCACCACUGAGAGGAAAUUCACCGCGAAAGAAUAAACCGUCGAUUAUUUCCUCUGAGUCGCGAAGCUACUGCAAACCACAACGGCUUGCGUUCAUAAAACUUUUAGAAAGUUUGCCUUUUCACGCGGCUUUGCACCGAGUUCCGUUAUAACCGGCGCAGAUGCGAGCGCAUCCCGACUCGCGGCGAGUUUUGAAUGAGGAAGAAGGAACAAAUUGAGACAACAGGAAGGUGAGCAAAUAUUGACAGGAGAGUCAUUUUCGAGUGAGUUAUCUAUCGUUGUAAAGCAUCCGACUCGUCAAACAGGCUCCUGCAUGAUGAUAACACACAUGAGUUUGUGUGCUGAAGCUGCUCAGAUUGACACACGUCUUCACCUCUUAAUCAGUCCGAGAUCAUUUUAACUUUACUUUGAGUUAAAUCUGAGUUAAAGUUUAAAGUGUGAGCUGAUCUGGAGUUUGUUGUAAGUCAGGCUGGAGUUUGGCCUUUGGCAGAGCGAUAGAGAAAAAGGAGGCGACAGAAUACAGCAGAACGUGACCACAACAUCCUGUUUGUGAAUCUGCAAGCUGCUUGAUAUGACAGGAAGAGUUACAGAGACGUCUGACCUGAAUGAGAUCAACUGAACUUCAUUCCACUACUGUAUCUGACUGUGAGAAGAUGCUGUGGAGAUCCUCUCACUGUCCAAUCAGCAGACCAGGAGAAAUGACCACUGGAGAAACCAAUAAGACUGUGCCAUGUGAGAGAACGGGGCGGGGCCAGAGCUGUAGCAUUUCGCCCAUCAGCAGAGUGAAUUUGGCAUUUGAAAACUGGGAAACCUGUCAAGAAUGAGUCAAUCUUCACCUUGAAUUCAGAAGAAAGCUAAAAGAGCACUUCUAGAGGAAAGAAAGAUUUUUGCAUUGUGACAUUUGCAUGAAAGUGAAGCAAAAUGUCUGUAUUGCAUUGGUGUUUUAAAUAUGUUUCUUUCAUGAAAAUGAGUAAAGGUUCUUUAUUGGAA